UUUGAAGUGAACAGUGUGAGCCGACUGCUCGUGCUCGACUGCUUGCGUCAUCAACUAAAGAGUCCUCAAAGUGGCUGCAAGUGGUUCCUUCGAGUCAGUUAGGCUUACUAUUAGAUAACAAUUCUGCAAGAAUUGCUGUUGGUCUUCGUUUGGGUAGCCAAUUAUGCGAAGAACAUAAAUGUAUUUGUGGAAAGAA